rnacentral:rRNA from 1 species
AGGGUUUGAUCCUGGCUCAGAACGUACGCUGGCGGCACGCCUAACACAUGCAAGUCGAACGAAGUAGCAAUACUUAGUGGCAGACGGGUGAGUAACAUGUAGGUAUCUGCCCUUUGGCCUGGAAUAACACGAGGAAACUUGUGCUAAUACCGGAUAAGUCUUUACGGAGAAAGCUUUAUGCACCAUUGGAUGAGCCUGCACUUGAUUAGUUUGUUGGUGGGGUAAUGGCCUACCAAGACUGUGAUCAAUAGCUGAUUUGAGAGGAUGAUCAGCCACAUUGGGACUGAGACACGGCCCAAACUCCUACGGGAGGCAGCAGUGGGGAAUCUUGCACAAUGGAGGAAACUCUGAUGCAGCGAUGCCGCGUGAGUGAAGAAGGCCCUUGGGUUGUAAAGCUCUUUCGUCGGGGAAGAAAAUGACUGUACCCGAAUAAGAAGGUCCGGCUAACUUCGUGCCAGCAGCCGCGGUAAUACGAAGGGACCUAGCGUAGUUCGGAAUUACUGGGCUUAAAGAGUUCGUAGGUGGUUGAAAAAGUUAGUGGUGAAAUCCCAGAGCUUAACUCUGGAACUGCCAUUAAAACUUUUCAGCUAGAGUAUGAUAGAGGAAAGCAGAAUUUCUAGUGUAGAGGUGAAAUUCGUAGAUAUUAGAAAGAAUACCAAUUGCGAAGGCAGCUUUCUGGAUCAUUACUGACACUGAGGAACGAAAGCAUGGGUAGCGAAGAGGAUUAGAUACCCUCGUAGUCCAUGCCGUAAACGAUGUGUGUUAGACGUUGGAAAUUUAUUUUCAGUGUCGCAGGGAAACCGAUAAACACACCGCCUGGGGAGUACGACCGCAAGGUUAAAACUCAAAUGAAUUGACGGGGACCCGCACAAGUAGUGGAGCAUGUGGUUUAAUUCGAAGAUACGCGCAGAACCUUACCAACACUUGACAUGUUCGUCGCGACUCUAAGAGAUUAGAGUUUUCGGUUCGGCCGGACGAAACACAGGUGCUGCAUGGCUGUCGUCAGCUCGUGUCGUGAGAUGUUGGGUUAAGUCCCGCAACGAGCGCAACCCUCACUUUUAGUUGCCAUCAUUAAGUUGGGCACUCUGAAAGAACUGCCAGUGAUAAGCUGGAGGAAGGUGGGGAUGACGUCAAGUCCUCAUGGCCCUUACGUGUUGGGCUACACACGUGCUACAAUGGUAUCUACAACAGGAAGCAAGACUGCGAAGUUAAGCAAAUCCCUAAAAGAUACCUCAGUUCGGAUUGCACUCUGCAACUCGAGUGCAUGAAGCUGGAAUUACUAGUAAUCGUGGAUCAGCGUGCCACGGUGAAUGCGUUCCCGGGUCUUGUACACACCGCCCGUCACACCAUGGGAGUUGGUUCUACCUUAAGGCAAGGUUUCAAACCCUUGACCACGGUAUAGUCAGCGACUGGGGUGAAGUCGUAACAAGGUAACCGUA